AAAAUCACCGUCAAAGUCGGAGAUAUGCUCACGAACAGGUUGUGAGCUACGGGUCAUAAACUAGUACCUGUACACAAGAGCAACAAAGUUAGUAACCAACUUAAGAGACUCGGCACACAAACAAAACACACACACACGGUGCAAAAAAAAAAAAAAAAAAAAAAAAAAAAACUAAACAAUUUAAACAAGACUCAAGACAAGGAAUUAGCGACUUUGCUAAUCCCCGGCAACGGCGCCAAAAAUUUGAUGCGAAAUAUAUAUGCACACAAAUUAA
rnacentral:lncRNA from 1 species